rnacentral:misc_RNA from 1 species
GCAGAAGGAUCAUUAGUGAAGAUUUGGGCAGGCCAUACGGACGCCAAAAAGUGUCCCUGGCCGCCUGCACCCACUAUACAUCCACAAACCCGUGUGCACUGUCUUGGAGAAAGGCUUCAGAGAAGUUUUUUGUGGCCUCUCUUGGGGUCUUUCUUCGCUACAAACUCGAAUGGUUAGUAUGAACGUGGAACUUGGUUGGACCGUCACUGGCCAACAAACUAUACACAACUUUCGACAACGGAUCUCUUGGUUCUCCCA